UACAGAGGUCUCAAGCGUUGUUCGGAUUCAUUGGGCGUAAAGGGUGCGUAGGUGGCGCUGUAAGUCGGGUGUGAAAUCUCGGGGCUUAACUCCGAAACUGCAUUCGAUACUGCGGUGCUUGAGGACUGGAGAGGAGACUGGAAUUCAUGGUGUAGCAGUGAAAUGCGUAGAGAUCAUGAGGAAGACCAGUGGCGAAGGCGGGUCUCUGGACAGUUACUGACACUGAGGCACGAAGGCCAGGGGAGCAAACGGG
rnacentral:rRNA from 1 species